rnacentral:rRNA from 1 species
CUCGAGUGCAUGAAGCUGGAAUCGCUAGUAAUCGCGAAUCAGAAUGUCGCGGUGAAUACGUUCCCGGGUCUUGUACACACCGCCCGUCACACCAUGGGAGUCGGGAAUGCCCGAAGCCGGUGACCCAACCUUAAGGAGGGAGCCGUCGAAGGCAGGCCUGGUAACUGGGGUGAAGUCGUAACAAGGUAAC